GCCGAGGUAGCCAAGCCCGGUAUGGCGGCGGUCUCGAAAACCGCUGGACUUGUCCUCGGGAGUUCGAAUCUCUCCCUCGGCGCCA
rnacentral:tRNA from 1 species